GAGAGAGAGAGAGAGAGAGCAGGGGAGGGACUAUCAUCAUAUAAUUGAAGUCCUUACUUUUGGUACCAAUGUCAUUCAAUUAACCAAGAACUGUCAGUAGGGAAAUACAGCAAUCGCUAGUGGAAAUUGGUGAUAAAAAUCCUUGUUUUAUUGGCUCAUGUGAAUGGAUUGGUGCUAUUGACUUGAGCUUUGUUUUGGAUAAACUU
rnacentral:misc_RNA from 1 species